rfam:Schistosoma mansoni, Puerto Rico, WGS project CABG01000000 data, contig: 0044
AUCCAGUUGACGAGUCCCAAAUAGGACAAAACGCGUGUCCUGGAU